CCCCUCCCAUUUUUCCCCUUCCGUUUCUCACACCCAACAUUCUAGUUUAGCCGCCCCCAAAUUCUAUCAUUUCAUAAGCCGGCGGCGGCUACCAUAAUUCCUCCAAACCCACCCAAAUCCUCAUCCUGUAUUCUUCUUCCCCUCAUCAUCCUAUAGCCCUUUUUGGUUUCCUUCAAAAUACCCUAGAACUCCUCUUUUUUCAGAUCUAAAAACGACCAGAAACGCUAGGCUUUGUUUCCAAUAUUCUCCGUUGAUUUUAACCUAUUUUGAGUUAAAACUAAUAUUAGCUAAUAAUUCUUGGCAAAGAUCCGUCAAUUAAUAUAAGUUCUAAUUUAUUUGGAAUCAUUGAAAUUCGGCCGAGCUUCAGAGAUCCGUUUCGGAAUCGUUCUUCGCUUUUCUCGAUAGGUAUAUUUCUUGUCCUCCUUGCCUUAUUCUGGUAUUUUUAUUCAUUCUAAAAAAUUUAAAGAAAAUAAUGUUUAUUUUAUUGGUUUAAUUUGUUCAACUGUUGUUCGGAUUAGACUUUUCUUUCUUUUUGAUUAAUUAACUAGCUAGAUUUUAGGUCAUAGCAUUAGUUUAAUUAUGUCUCUGAAUUUCUUUGAUUUAUUUGAUUGCUAUGUUUGGGUCUCCUAUUGGGCUUCUAUUGUCUUCGAUUUGGGCAGAAGAAGCCCAUUCGUUUGGGCCUGAGUCUUAGGGUCAGAUGGCCCAUGUUUGAUUUAGUUUGUGAAGUAAAUACAGUGGUGUUAGGGGGUUAUUUUGGACAUCUUAAGCUUGAAAAAUAUUUUCUGUUAGGGGAGAAUCUAGAGGAUAAGCUAAGGCCUGCAUUCCAAGAAAUAAAGAAAGCUCAGCUGUUUUCAUGGACUAUGAGGUGAAAUAACUAAGUUUAAAGGGGUAGAAAGGGGAAUUAGGGAAUCAGGAUAUGGCUGCCCUAGAAGUGCCUAUAUAAGGAUCUUUUUCCUCACUUAUUAGGGCAGAUUUCAGACCCUGAAAAUACUCCAAAAAAGUUCUGCACGGUUUCAUUAGGAGCUGGUUUUUAUUUCUUCUGAUUUUCUUUAGCAAGAAUUUAGAAAAACUUUCUUUGUAUUUCUGGUUUUCCGAUUCAAAAUUUGGAUUGAUAUUAGGGCUGUUGUUAGUUGAUAUUGUUGUUUUCAUUGGUGAAUUUCUUACUCCACUCUAUUCUUUGAUGUAUCUAGGUACUUCUCGAACUUUGAGUGGCCAUUGGAAUGCAAGCAUGUUCUUCUUUGUUUUCUCUUUGAAAGAUAUAUUUGUAAUAUGAAAUUCAUGUUUAGAUUUUAAGUUUCAGUUUAUCUUUAUAUGUAUCUCCUUGUCCCUGUGAUAAUUUUCUUUUCUUUUACUAUCUGUGUCUCCCUUCUCAAGCCACAUUUAGAGAACUUUUUUGUUGAUUUAACAUUUUGUAUCCAUAAUAUCGAAAAAAAUGUACAAGGUAGAGCUCUAGUAGUAGCUUUGACUUGCUACUACUCCUUUACAUCACAAUUAUCUCUAUUAAGUAUCUAACUGCUCUUCACUAAUUACAACUAAGUAUAGAAGUUAGCUAGUACAAAUCAUACUAUGGAAAACUAUUAAGUUGCCUCAAUCCAUUUUGUCAGCGACUACAAUCCCUUCCUCGAAUAUGGAUAUGUAAAACAACUUCUCUGCAAAUCUGAUUCCUCAUAGACUUUCUUUUCAAAUCUGAUACUGUUUCUCUCCCUCCAGAUUAAUGCAAUAGUACUGAUAAACACACUAGCUGUUAUAGCAUUUAAUCCCUGUUUGCUCUUUGCUUUGCUGUUUACCCAUUGCAGUUCAGUUUCCCAGUCUCCAACUAAUCUUUGAUGUCCCAGCCAUAAACAGAGUCUAGUCCACAGCUGUCUCGUAAUUGUG
rnacentral:lncRNA from 1 species